rnacentral:tRNA from 1 species
AUGGUAAAAAGAGAUGUCAUCUCUGUCUUUAGAUUUACAGUCUAAUGCUUAUCCUCAGCCAUUUUACC